AAUUCAACUUAACAAAUCAACAGUAACAACAAUACACAAGCUUAAACAGUCCAAAGUUAAUAUAAUUAGAUCAUUGCAAUUCAAUUUCUAGGAAUUCAUAUCAAGUGAAAAUAAUUUUAAUUAAGCUCACACAAGUCAAACUAAACAACUAGGCACGAUUGACUAUAACUACAGUUUAACUAUUAAAUAGUGAAUGCAGCAUAAGAGCCUUCAUCCAAACUUCCAUUCAUUUCAUCAACCAAGGGUUUACAAGCGUGUACCUGGAUGAGGGAAUUAAGAGGAAGCAGAGUCAGUUUAACACCAGCACGCACAUGCAGCAAUCAAUAAGCCAAAAUUCAGCUCAAACCAGGAAUAGUAUUUGAAAAUAAAUCACAGCCAAGCAAAACACCACAAAUCGACUGAAAUGCACCCAAAUAGACUCCAAAUACUUCCAAAAUACUUCAGCAAACCCAGAACUCAAACUAUGAGACAGAAUUUGAAAGCUAGAACUCAUCAAUUAACUGAAAACCUCAAUGAAACGGUAAGUUCUUCCUUUUUAAGUUUUUCUCGAGAUUUCUACUGUUUUUGGGAUUUUUUUUUGGUUUGAAUUCAAAAGCUAACUCUGAAAUUGAGAAUGAAAGGAAAAAGUUCAGUAUGAGAUUUUUA
rnacentral:lncRNA from 1 species